UACGGAGGGUGCAAGCGUUAUCCGGAUUCACUGGGUUUAAAGGGUGCGUAGGUGGGUUGGUAAGUCAGUGGUGAAAUCCCCGAGCUUAACUUGGGAGCUGCCAUUGAUACUAUUAAUCUUGAAUACCGUGGAGGUUAGCGGAAUAUGUCAUGUAGCGGUGAAAUGCUUAGAUAUGACAUAGAACACCAAUUGCGAAGGCAGCUGGCUACACGAAUAUUGACACUGAUGCACGAAAGCGUGGGGAUCAAACAGG
rnacentral:rRNA from 1 species